rnacentral:misc_RNA from 1 species
UUUCCGUAGGUGGACCUGCGGAAGGAUCAUUAUUGUAUAACCGAGGUGCGAGGGCUGUCGCUGACCCGAAAGGUCGUGCACGCCCGAGUGCCCUCACACACAUCCAUCUCACCCCUAUGUGCACCACCGCGUGGGUCCCCCUUUGGCUUGUUCGGAGGGGGGCUUACGUUUUCACACAAACUUUGUAUGCAGUGUAGAAUGUAUUUUUGUUUUUGCGAUCACGCAAUCAAUACAACUUUCAACAACGGAUCUCUUGGUUCUG